rnacentral:lncRNA from 1 species
GCUGGACAGGAAUUUAAGGGGCCACCUUGGGAAAAAGAACUGAACGUGUGCUGAGCAGCUACCAUGAGCUGGGGCUCUUUCACCUGCUCUCUGGGUGAACUCCCAGCCCUCAAGUCUUUGGACUUGGACAAUCUGUAGCUGGAAAGAAACACAACCACAGUCCAACCCAUUCUUCAGUUAUAUUCAAGAGGCCAAGCAAGGUGAAAUCAUUUACCCACGUUUCUAUACCUUCUUUGCUGGUGCUAAGUGGGGAUGGAGAGUGAAACCAAAAACUAAAGCCAUGAUAAGAACAAUAAAGACAAACUGUUCCUCUGAAAGAACAAACGUUUUUGUAAUCGCAGACACAUUUCUUUAGCUGCUGUAUAAGCCAAAUACUGUUUUUCCUCUCAAUAGACAUUUGACAGUUGUUCUUACAUAGAUGUCCAUGCAUGUUGUUUCGUCAAAUAUCCACAUAGAAUCUGCCACAGCGCUGUGUUCCCACACCCCAACACACACAGUCCAGUGUGUUUGGUAUUAGAAUUCUUCGAACUGUGGGCUAAGGACAUUGUUUGGAAUGAUUUGGAUUCCAAUCGGUGUUCUGCCCACUGGACGAGACUGCUCUGAGACAGUGUGGGAGGUGAGCCCAAUAUCAGACAGUGAGAAAGCCACUCACGUCUGGCCUCUGCUUGGUGAGCUAGAGGAAGCUGCGUAAGUGAGUGGGAAGAAAUAAUGAAUUGCUUGCAGGAAAGUAUGUGAGAAUCCACUGAACAAGAGGCGGUGCUAAUCAACACAGGGACUCUGACACUGUUUUAAAACAGAUGCUUCCAGACUCCGAGAGGAAGGAGGGAGGACAGAAUGUCUUAAAUUUCUUUCG